AGAGUUUGAUCAUGGCUCAGGAUGAACGCUGGCGGCGUGCCUAACACAUGCAAGUCGAACGGACUGGAAAGAGCUUGCUUUUUCCAGCCAGUGGCGGACGGGUGAGUAACGCGUGGGUAACCUGCCGUAUACAGGGGGAUAACAGUUAGAAAUGACUGCUAAUACCGCAUAAGCGCACAGUGCCGCAUGGCACAGUGUGAAAAGCCGAGACGGUAUACGAUGGACCCGCGUCUGAUUAGCCGGUUGGCGGGGUAACGGCCCACCAAAGCAACGAUCAGUAGCCGGCCUGAGUGGGUGGACGGCCACAUUGGGACUGAGACACGGCCCAAACUCCUACGGGAGGCAGCAGUGGGGGAUAUUGCACAAUGGGGGGAACCCUGAUGCAGCGACGCCGCGUGAGUGAAGAAGUAUUUCGGUAUGUAAAGCUCUAUCAGCAGGGAAGAAGAGAGACGGUACCUGAGUAAGAAGCACCGGCUAAAUACGUGCCAGCAGCCGCGGUAAUACGUAUGGUGCAAGCGUUAUCCGGAUUUACUGGGUGUAAAGGGAGCGUAGACGGCACGGCAAGUCUGAAGUGAAAGCCCGGGGCUCAACCGCGGGACUGCUUUGGAAACUGCCGGGCUGGAGUGCAGGAGAGGUAAGUGGAAUUCCUGGUGUAGCGGUGAAAUGCGUAGAUAUCAGGAGGAACACCGGCGGCGAAGGCGGCUUACUGGACUGUAACUGACGUUGAGGCUCGAAGGCGUGGGGAGCAAACAGGAUUAGAUACCCUGGUAGUCCACGCGGUAAACGAUGAUCACUAGGUG
rnacentral:rRNA from 1 species